rnacentral:rRNA from 1 species
GACGUAGGGCGCGAGCGUUGUCCGGAUUUAUUGGGCGUAAAGAGCUCGUAGGCGGCUUGUCGCGUCGUCCGUGAAAACCUGCGGCUCAACUGCAGGCUUGCGGUCGAUACGGGCAGGCUAGAGUUCGGUAGGGGAGACUGGAAUUCCUGGUGUAGCGGUGAAAUGCGCAGAUAUCAGGAGGAACACCGGUGGCGAAGGCGGGUCUCUGGGCCGAUACUGACGCUGAGGAGCGAAAGCGUGGGGAGCGAACAGG